GAUGAACGCUGGCGGCGUGCCUAAUACAUGCAAGUCGAGCGAACGGACGAUAAGCUUGCUUCUCUGAUGUUAGCGGCGGACGGGUGAGUAACACGUGGAUAACCUACCUAUAAUACUUGGAUAACUUCGUGAAACCGGAGCUAAUACCGGAUGAUAUUUUGAACCGCAUGGUUCAAAAGUGAAAGACGGUCUUGCUGUCACUUAUAGAUGGAUCCGCGCUGCAUUAGCUAGUUGGUAAGGUAACGGCUUACCAAGGCAACGAUGCAUAGCCGACCUGAGAGGGUGAUCGGCAAAACUGGAAGUGAGACACGGAACAGACGACUACGGGAGGCAGAAGUAGGGAAUAGUCCGCAAUGGGCGAAAGCAUGACGGAGCAAAGCCGCGUGAGUGAUGAAGGUCUUCGGAUCGUAAAACUCUGUUAUUAGGGAAGAAAAUAUGUGUAAGUAACUGUGCACAUAUUGACGGUAACUAAUCAGAAAGCAACGGCUAACUACGUG
rnacentral:rRNA from 1 species